rnacentral:lncRNA from 1 species
CUUCCAGUGGGUCAUGAGGACCGCUCAAAUCUUGGUUUGGUGGGAGCUUCGUGCGGACUGGCCACUGUGUUUUAUCCUCCUGCAGUAGAUGCAGCCAGCAGUGCCCACCAGGACAGGGAGUUCACACCAGGCCAGAAGCCGGGGGAUCUCACUCGGCCUGUGGCUUCUCUGCCCCAUCCAGCCUCUUGGGUAGACCCAAAGGGUGAUAGACCCAAAGGGUGGGCAAAUAGUGUGUCACAAAGGGAACCACAUGUCACCAGAAUGCCACCCAGGCCUGAAACUCUCCUCUUUUGGUUUAACCAUCUUUCAAUUAUCCAUGGGUUUUCUGCUACACCUAGGCCAGGCUCUUAUAACACACUACACAAACACAUAUUAAGGGAGAAGGAAACAGGCUCGGGGCAGAAAUCCUUUCCCGCCUUUCCAUGGGCCAGUCCUUGCAUGACCAGGACAGACUGAUACAGAAUUCUGGAAAGGCGGGCCGGGCGCAGUGGCUCAUGCCUGUAAUUCCAGCACUUUGGGAGGCCGAGGCGGGCAGAUAACAAGGUCAGGAGAUCGAGACCAUCCUGGCUAACAUGGUGAAACCUCAUCUCUACUAAAAAUACAAAAAAUUAGCCGGGCGUGGUGGCGGAGGCCUGUAGUCCCAGCUACUCGGGAGGCUGAGGUGGCAGAAUGGCGUGAACCCAGGAGGCAGAGCUUGCAGUCAGCCGAGUUCGCGCCACUGCACUCCAGCCUGGGCGACACAGCGAGACUCCAUCUCGAAAAAAAAAAAAAAAAAAAAGAAUUCUGGAAAGGCGGUACAGCCUAUGGGUUAGUGAAGAUCAUGCACUCUGAAGUCAGACCACCUAGGAACCAGUCCUGACUCUACCACUCACUAAACGAACAUGGAAACUUGGGAAGGUCACAUGUGCUAAUUAAGGUAAAUAUCAUACGCUGUGUUAAGAGAUAAACUCAAGUUAGCAGAAGAAAAGCUUCUCACUUAUAUAAUAGUCCAUCAUUGGUCAGGGAUGAGGAUGGCUG